CUUAAAAGAGACAUUUUUUUUUUUGUAAAAAUGGCGUACCGUUAUCGAGUAAGAAAUCCUCGUCUUCAAGCAAGAGUCUUUCUUCCUGACUGGUUUGUUAAAAUUGUUAGACCAGGAAAAGAAAUCGCCAAAGAUACUGUACAAUUGCACGUACCAUUAGACAUGGGGAAAGUUGACAUAAAAAACUACAUGGAGAAGAUUUAUAAUGUUCCUGUAGCUAAAGUCAAUACUAGAAUACAAGCUGGAAAAAUAAAAACUACUCAAUGGAGAAACGAUGUUAUAACUAGAAAGACUGCUGAUAUUAAAGUUGCUUAUGUCAUAUUAAAAGAAGGUACAUUUGAAUUUCCAGAUAUGUUUCCAGAAAUUUCUCCUAAAGAAGUUGAUGACGAUGUAAAGAAAAUAUCACCAAAUGAAAAAUCUAUUGAAGAUUCUCAAAAGGCAGUUGCUACCUGGUUCCAGUAACUUUUCAGUACUUUUAUAUCAAAUGCAUCAGGUGAGGAUGAACUAUGACUGGAUCACCAGGUGAGGUGACCAUAAUAACACAGAAAUUACUCAUGUCAAAAAGCUUAAGGUUGUUAAGUAUCGAAUCAAGUAUUGGUCUCUGUUGGGAAAACAGUUUGCGAUUGAUUUUGAUGAGUACGGUGUGUCACUAACAUGUAGCAUGUUUUUAAUAUAACAACAUAUAUUUAUAGCUGCUUGUGGUA